rnacentral:rRNA from 1 species
GAUGAACGCUGGCGGCGUGCCUAAUACAUGCAAGUCGAGCGAACGGACGAGAAGCUUGCUUCUCUGAUGUUAGCGGCGGACGGGUGAGUAACACGUGGAUAACCUACCUAUAAGACUGGGAUAACUUCGGGAAACCGUAGCUAAUACCGGAUAAUAUUUUGAACCGCAUGGUUCAAAAGUGAAAGACGGUCUUGCUGUCACUUAUAGAUGGAUCCGCGCUGCAUUAGCUAGUUGGUAAGGUAACGGCUUACCAAGGCAACGAUGCAUAGCCGACCUGAGAGGGUGAUCGGCCACACUGGAACUGAGACACGGUCCAGACUCCUACGGGAGGCAGCAGUAGGGAAUCUUCCGCAAUGGGCGAAAGCCUGACGGAGCAACACCGCGUGAGUGAUGAAGGUCUUCGGAUCGUAAAACUCUGUUGUUAGGGAAGAACAUAUGUGUAAGUAACUGUGCACAUCUUGACGGUACCUAAUCAGAAAGCCACGGCUAACUACGUG